rnacentral:ncRNA from 1 species
UUUUUCAGGGCAGGGUGCAAUUCCCUACUGGCGGUAAAGUCCGCGACCACCUAACGGUGCCGACCCGGUGCAACUCCGAGACCAACAGUACAGUCUGGAUGAAAGAAAA